UACAGAGGUCCCAAGCGUUGUUCGGAUUUACUGGGCGUAAAGGGUGCGUAGGCGGUCGGGUAAGUCUGAUGUGAAAUCUCCGAGCUUAACUCGGAAAAUGCAUUGGAUACUAUUCGGCUAGAGAGUUGGAGGGGGGACUGGAAUACUUGGUGUAGCAGUGAAAUGCGUAGAUAUCAAGUGGAACACCAGUGGCGAAGGCGAGUCCCUGGACAACUUCUGACGCUGAGGCACGAAAGCUAGGGGAGCAAACAGG
rnacentral:rRNA from 1 species